rnacentral:rRNA from 1 species
UACGGGGGGAGCAAGCGUUGUUCGGAUUUACUGGGCGUAAAGGGCGCGUAGGCGGCCACCGCAAGUCAGUUGUGAAAUCUCUGGGCUUAACCCAGAACGGUCAGCUGAUACUGCGGGGCUAGAGUGCAGAAGGGGCAACUGGAAUUCUCGGUGUAGCGGUGAAAUGCGUAGAUAUCGAGAGGAACACCUGCGGCGAAGGCGGCUCACUGGACCGGUACUGACGCUGAUGCGCGAAAGCGUGGGGAGCAAACGGG